AUACCCGCUCCGCGAGUGGUGGGGACUUUUACUGGGCUUAAAGCGCCCGUAGCCGGCUGGGUGUGUCCUCCGUUAAAUCCACAGGCCUAACCUGUGGGCUGCGGGGGAUACUACCCGGCUCGGGGGUGGGAGAGGGCGGCGGUAUUCCCGGGGUAGGGGUAAAAUCCACUGAUCCCGGGAGGACCACCAGUGGCGAAGGCGGCCGCCCAGAACACGCCCGACGGUGAGGGGCGAAAGCUGGGGGAGCAUACGGGAUUAGAAACCCUAGUAGUCC
rnacentral:rRNA from 1 species